UAGAAUCGCUUCGCUUGCGGCGGCCGGGGGAUCAGCCCGGCCUGAAUGGGGAAAGCGUGGUGAGAAUCCACCGCUGUGCCGCAACUGUGAUGGCGAUUGUGCCUGAGCCAGGAUGCCCGCCGAGAGUGCUUCACGUCC
rnacentral:ncRNA from 2 species